rnacentral:rRNA from 1 species
CCUACGGGUGGCAGCAGUGAGGAAUAUUGGUCAAUGGACGAGAGUCUGAACCAGCCAAGUAGCGUGAAGGAUGACUGCCCUAUGGGUUGUAAACUUCUUUUAUAUGGGAAUAAAAUGUUCCACGUGUGGGAUUUUGUAUGUACCAUAUGAAUAAGGAUCGGCUAACUCCGUGCCAGCAGCCGCGGUAAUACGGAGGAUCCGAGCGUUAUCCGGAUUUAUUGGGUUUAAAGGGAGCGUAGGUGGAUUGUUAAGUCAGUUGUGAAAGUUUGCGGCUCAACCGUAAAAUUGCAGUUGAAACUGGCAGUCUUGAGUACAGUAGAGGUGGGCGGAAUUCGUGGUGUAGCGGUGAAAUGCUUAGAUAUCACUAAAAACUCCGAUUGCGAAGGCAGUUCACUGGACUGCAACUGACACUGAGGCUCGAAAGUGUGGGUAUCAAACAGGAUUAGAUACCCUUGUAGUC